UAAUUAAACAAUGAGGAGGUCCCCUCGCACAUCUGUAAACCUCCUUCUGAGGCCAGUUUAGCCCACAAACUGCUCCAUUCUUACCCCCAUUCACUUGUAAAUGGCCCCUCUGAUGUUCCCUCCACCCCCUCUCCUCUGUUACUCCCCCCUUGCCAGCUCUUUCUUUUCCCUUUUCAACUGAGGCCUGGGGUGGGCUCUCCGAAGAGCCGUCUUGGAGCCUGGUGGACUUGGUGGGGACAGAGGCAGUUUAACCUGUGGAAGAGAAGACUUAGGGGAUCCUUUCUUCCAAAUCUGAAGGGCCAUCCUGGGGAAGAGGGGGUGCAUUUGUUGGCAUGGUCCCCGUGGACCAUUCAGGCCCAGUGGGUGGGAAUGACAGGAAGACAGAUUUCUGCUUGGGAGAAAAGAGCUCUUAACAAUCAGAGCCGCUCCACAGAGGAGCUGACCUCCUGUCCCUGGAGGUGUUCAAAGAGAGGCUGGAUGAGGGUCUGUUACGCCUGCGAGUCAAUAUCAGAUACGACUUUGAGGUUGUUCCGUUUCAGUCCCACGAGGCUGAGGCUGACACCCUUUGGGGCCCUCCCACAGUGGGCAGUCAGUGUCCCCCAGAAUAGGACAAGUCCACCGGGGCGAGGGAUUCUGGUGGAGCUUGCGUCGGUGCUCUCCACAGUGGGUAUCCUCCCUUUGGCAGCAGCCUUUAGAAGGUACUGGAGCCCAGAGGAUGAGGAAUCUGAAGUCACUGUGGGCUUACAGCUCAGAGCAGCCAUCUGUUGAGCGUGUCCUGUGUGUGUGACACUGCCAGGCCUGCCUUGGGCAUUGUGCCUUACGUAAUCCUCAGCAGCUCUUGGUGUUUGGAUUAUUAUCCCUGCUUGUCAGAGGAUGACACUGAGACAGCAAGAUGAAGUGACUUCCUAGCUAAGGCCAUCGAGCACACAGCCGAGGUCCUCUGGCUGUAGACUCAGAACUCAACCACUCCAGCAUAGAGCAGCAGCUCUCAUUGCCUGCUCUGCCCCCGAUGGGCAGGCCAGGUGCCAAGGUAUCCUGCACUGGAAACCUUGUAUUAAGUGCCCAUCUCCUUCCUCUGGUGCUGUGUGCCCGGGGGCAGCCUGGCCGCCAGCACCUACAGACUCAGAGUGUCAUUCCUACCACCUGGGUUGUACUGGGAGCAUUGGCCAACCCCAACAUCUUGUGGGUUCAAACAUCUAACACAGAAGGAAGG
rnacentral:lncRNA from 1 species